UGUUACUAUGGGAUAAGUUGCUCUCUGAAGAAUCACACUAGGGAAAAUCUUAAACACCAGUAACCUAUGACUCCUUUAUCCAUAUACUAAGAGGUACAUCUAGUAUGUUAACUCAAACUGUAUUUUGCUAAUUGUCAUAAGGGGACUUAAUUUAUUGUAUGAAAUUAAUUACACUAUUACAACUAAAGUAAAUUACACGGUACAUGUACUGCAUUAUUUCCAUCUCUGUGGUAUGAUGGAAAUAAUGAAAUCACCCAUGUUUGUAUUCACGUGGCUGCUUAAUGCCCCGAGGUCAGUGGACAUAAGGGUACUUCAAGUAUCUGCUGAUACCAUUUAAUGGACCUUGUUGUUCAAAUAAUUUGUCCUUGCACUCAUGGGGUACAUGCACACCAGCAAUGAAACGCGUCUACACAAUCACUCAAAGAAGCAUCUAAGAGCAUCCCAGAAAAGUUACUCAUGUUCUUUAUAAAAACUGGGCAAUUAAAAUAACUCUCCGUGCUUUUGCCAGCUUAGAUGGAAAACUGGGCUAUACAAAUUAACACACACAAAAACUGCAUUAACUAUCUCUUUAUGCUGUUGUACCUCACACUACUAGUCUGGAGAGCCCAAAACUGCAUAGAAAUGCAAUUUCUAGCUCUCCAAAUAUAAAAAUUUUCUUAAUUCUGACGUAUUCUUAUUUAUUUCUCAAAACUGGCCAACCAUUCACACUCCUAAAUAUUAACACUCUCUAACCUAUAUCUUUGUGAUGUACAGUUUGUACUACUUUGUUCAGUCCAACUGCGGUUAUGUUAAAUAAGGGGAUUACAUUACAUUAUUAAAUCUGCUAACAUAGAAUAACUGCACACCAUAUUCUCCCAAUUCUACCUCCAAUCAUAUAUUCUUCUGCCAACUUAAAUAAGUAUUAUAUCAUUCCAGUUUCUUUGUAUGUGGCUGUUUACCUAAAUUAAACUGCAUAUAUUUUUUCUUCCUAACCACCCUUUAAUUAUUGUUUUUGGAUGUCCUUAUGUGAUCUGCAAGUAAUAUUUUCAAAAGUAUUAAAUGAUAAUUUUAUGAGCACCUUUCAAAAUGGGGGUUAGAUCCAUCUAUAUAUUAUUAACUGUAUAUAUUUCUGAGUACAAUACUAUCCAAAAUAGAUACAGUCAACUUGCUGGGGACUGAUUUCUGUAGUAGUUGUGCUGGGCCUCAUGCAGGAAAACUGAAUUUGUCAUCCUAAUAAAUCCCCUCUGGUUAAAUAAGUACUUUCUUUAGUCAGCUUUUUUUUUUUAAAAAAUUGUUCAAUAAAAUAUUACUUAGGAAAGCUUAAAAAAUAUUGUUUGCAUUUGCAACUUCAAACUGUAAAAGCGAAUGUUUCAUUACAAAAGUUAGUAAACUGAUAUACAUGUUGAGAAGCAAGUUCUCACAAGUAAAACCAGACAACUAUAGGUUUCAAUUGUAAUUAAAAGGAGCUUUAGUUUGUUGGGUUUUUUCUUCUCAAUUUCUUCAAUUGAUUAAGGCAUUUUGCAAUUUAAAACCAUUAUUCUCUCUUCAAGAAACACCUUGGAUCAGAAAUUACUUUUCUGAUUUACGUGAGAAGUCAAGUCACACAACUUUCAGAGGCCUUUUAAAAGCAGUAUUCACUUCUAUCCAGGAAUUAUAUUUUCCUAUCCAUGUAAAAAAGUGUAAGUUAAGCAUUCUAAAGUUAUUUGCUAGACGUGUUCUUCUAAAAACUUCUCUGACCUAUACUGUUUUUCUUCUAUAUAAACUGUAUUAAUAUAAAGAUGCAGUGCUAUGUGAGUCAUAUUCUUGAAUAAGUCUAUUCAAGUUGACAACAAUCUUUCUUCAGAUUGGCUUGUAUUACAAAGGUUUUAAGACUUCGGUGGUCUCUUUCUAAGUUAAUUCUCAAAUAGCAUAAGCAGAUGCCUCCUACUUUAAAAAGAAACAACAAAAACCCCAACGAACAAACCAUAAACCAAAGCCAGGUAAAUCUAAAUGGUUCAAGUGCAGUAUUAAACAAAAAAGUCAUACUGGAACCCCUUAGUUCCUUAUCAAGAUAACAAGAUACAAUGAGCCACAAAAGUGAAAGGGUGCUACUUUUCUUAUUUCCUCUCUGAGAUGUUAACUGAGUGAAAGCUACUUGAUUCUCUGUACAAUAUUCACAUUUUUAAUACGGCUGCUUCUAAUAAUUGAAACUUUUCUAACACAAUUUGAGGGAACAGGGUAGAAUAAAAUGUCCAUUUGCAAAUGUUCACAGCCUUUCCUGUUGCAGACCCAAUACAAGAAAAACCACUGGAAGAUGAACACUUUAAUUUGAAGACUUUAAUUACUAUUUGAUAUGAACACAUAAGUCUUCAAGCAUCUAACAGAUACAACAGAGUAAUAAUUAUUAAUAGUUUUCUCAUCAUCCUUCAAGCUGAAUUUCUAAGAUAGAACAGACAUGAUAGCCAGUAUUCUGAAUAGACUGAAUUCUGUCAGUAUUCUGAAUAGUCAAAUGACCUUCAUUCCUUCAAUAUUCUUGCUCUUAUGUUACAUAUUUUAUGCUCUAACAAAAGCAUAUACAUGGAUUAUUCCCAUUUUAAUCAAGGCCAUGACUGUUGGUAACAUGAACCAUACAUUUUCUUUAAUAUUGUUUUUGAUUACAGGAAAAUAAAAUAACUUGAGGUUUGGAGUAGAAAUACAAGUGAUACUUUCUAAUAUCACUAACUAAUUUCACUUUAGGGCUCCAUUAUUGCAGCAUAGAUACUAGGUUUCAUUUUUAUUACUAACAGACUUUAUUUAUCACUGUAAAAACUGUCUGUUAACCACAGAAAGUAAAAUUCACCAUCAAAGUUCUGGUUUUGUUUAGGAAUCAGACUUUUUCAGAUAUGCUGUCAGAUAGUAAACCCUAGUUAUCUAUAUGUGACUUAAAAGAAACUACAUGUGUUUUGAAUUCAGAAUAUUUCCCUGUAAUACCUACAUACCUGAAGAGCAUGUGCUAGAGAGAAUUAGAAGACAAGAAAAAAGGGCAUUGGCAAUGAUGAAAUCACCUUCCUGACCAGAGAACCAAGCAGUGCAAGCAGAAUAGUAGCACUGCUUGCAUGAACAGCUUACGGAUGAAAUCCACACUGAUGUCUAACCUGUAAUGAAUACCAAUGUUUUGACCUUUCAAUAGAGAGCUGAUUUUGGAGAACGGCUUACUCCUGUGAUUGAAAAACUCUCUGGAAGGUUGAUGGAGCAUGAGCAUGGAGAAUCUUUCUUUGAGAUGAUUUAAAUUGCUGCAGUGAGAAUGGAAAUUACUUGGGCUCCUUUCCUUUUAAAAGCUGCAUGCAAGAACUGUGUGGUGAGUCAAAUAUAGACUAAUGGUUAUGUAAAUGUCACUAAUUUUAGAUACAGAUAUGAAAGUGUGUUUCCUUUUAAGAUUUUAUUUUCUUCACUAUCAUGACUCAGUAUCACUUGCUAAUCUAAUUUUAUUAGCCCUGUUGUAUUUUACCAUUUAAAAGACACAUACCUUAUUAAAAUAAGCUUUCACAGAGUCAAGUUAAUAUAUCAUAUAGAUGUUUUAAAAGGAGGAAAAAAGCUUAUCUGCACUGGAGAUUUGUUUUGAUUUUAGCAUUCACAGGCCUGCUACUGGUGCAGUUGCAUAGGUACAAACAUGAUAUAGAUGAAUAUUAAUCCAAGUUGUUAUAAUUCAUAAGUUUGCAUUAUUUGAUCAUAUUUCAGACUGGUAAAAAUCACACUCUCUUUGUCAACUACUACUAUGGAUUUGAACUGGUAAAGUAACUAAUGGCUAAAAUUUCUGAUUUAGUUGAGUCCUGAGCAGUUCUCAGUAGCAAAGCUGUGCAGAAUUAGACAGCCUACAGCUUUUCUUAAAGAAGACUUCUGUGUGCACAUUUACCUACUACAGGUUUCUUAAGAUACAUGACCAAGAUGAGGCUGACUACUUAGAAAAAAUAUCCUAUUUGGCUCAAAGUUGGAUAGCUUUCUAAUUGAGUUUCUUCAAGUAGCACUGUGUUGUAUUUGCGUGUUUGUGACUGCCUAAUAUUAAAGACCUGCACAUACAUUUCAGCCAUUUGAAGACUUAGAAAUGCAUGGAAAAAUCAAAAUCUGGGAAUUAUAAAAGAAAAAGGUGUUAUUCUUCCACUAUGCCACUUCCCUUAAAGGUCACUGAUUUUUUUUCAGCAUGCUGCAGACUGGUGCCUGCAGCAGGCCGUCCAUCCAGUUGCUCUUAUUUUGAGUAGAGCUAGUAUUUUAAUGUACCCAGGAUUUUUCCCAGGGACUUCUAUGAGUAGAUGUGAAUCUAAAAAGCUGAUCAGAGACUUGAGAACAUACAAGUAAGCCUGUUUGCAUGUCUUUGUCAAAGUCCAGUGGCCAAACCGUUUGUUCCCGACUACUUCAUUGUGCUCGUGUUGGCCUUUGUGCGAAGAGUGAAACAGACUGUGCUUCCUUCUGGUUCACCAUGCAAACUCCGAUCACUGGCACAAGGGCAGGAAAUAGCAGGGAGCAGGAAGAAGCAGAAGGGCAAAGGUUGGACCGCCUUGUUUGGUGGCCCUAGCGGCUUAGAAUAGUUCAGUGACAUGGUGAAAACACAGUUUGAGCAUUUGCAGAACCAGAGUUCAACUGAGGAACCAAAGUUCCUGUCUGAAUUAAGAAAACUACUUCAAGUGCUUAUGAAAGCCUACUCAAAUGAUUCAGUUCCUAAACCUUUGAAAAGGAUGUUACAUUUCUCGCACAGUUCACAGGUGGCUUAAUAUUAUCAGUUAUAUUUUCCAGAGGUUUGCUUGUAAUGGGUGGUGCCAUAGGCUGUGGCUGGAUCAAACUCACUUGGUGUUGCAGCUCUGGGGUCCUAAGGACUGUGCCUGAUGUAAGAAAGGAAGGCUCACUGUUUUCAAUUCAGGUGCUUAUUUUCUGCUCGGCAUAGGAACUGUAUGGGAAAAAGAUGCUUAAUUCACAUAAAAGGGAAAGAAAAGAUAGGCCUGCUUGAAAAUAAGCUAAUAGCUGUAUAUGAGUGAAGACAACUCAAGUGUGAAGAGCAUGUCUAAAAAUGUGUUGUUAAAAGGUUGGAGCUGAGAAGAGAUAUGGAAAGGACAGAUCUGAUGAACAGGAAAAUCAGAAGGAUUGAAAUACGUUGGGCAAAGAUUUGGGUGUUUGUUUGUUUAUUGAAAUUGGAAGAAGCAGCAGCGUGACAGAGGGGAUCUGGCUUGAGGCAAAGAGAAUGAGUCAGGCUUGGGGAAAGGGGCUUGCACUCCUCAGAUCAUUCCUAACAUUCAUUGGAGUGCUCUGCACUUCAGAUCCAGAAGGGAAUGCAGACUGUUAAGUAGUAGCUUUUGCUGUCAUACAGGAAAUCAUCUCAUCAUAUUCCACAGAGAAGAGGGCAAGCCUAUUAUUACCCUUAGCUACUUCAUGGAUUUUGGUCCUGAAAAGCAAUCCCAAAGUAAGAGUAGCUGAUGUCAUAAGGGAGAUCUCUAGUUCAAACAGGGUCAGGCAAAGCUGUUUCUUUAGGGCUGUGUCCUGUCGAUUUUGAAUAUACUCGAGGAUGGAGACUCUGCAGCCUGUCCUGUUCAGCUAGAAUUUCGUGCAGUUCAUUUCUUACCUGUUGCCUCUUGUCCUGUCUCUGGACACAACUGAGAAGAGCCUGGCUACAUCUUCUUUACUCCUGUACCCCCACCAGCAGACAUUGAGAAACAUUGCUGAGAUCACACAAACACAAGCCUUUUCUUCUCCAGGCUGGAGUCUCAGCUUGCUCAGCCCUUCUUCAUGUGAAAGAUUCUUCAGUUCUCUCAUCGUCUUUGUGGAAGUAAAUAGAAUGCUUCAUAUAAUAGGGAGAAUUAGAAUUCAAAGGAGGAAAUGUUUUUGUGGGGGAAAAAAACCAAAACCACAAGCUAAUAACUGUAAAAGAACAUGAAGAUCACAAAAUGAAUCACUAAGAAGUUAGAUAACUCCUGCUUUAAGAUUCUACAAUCUUCAUUUGCCCCAUUGUGUCAGUGUACGAUGAAGCAAUCUUCGUGAUCAUACAGAAUAUUAAAUCUGUUGAUAGGAUCAGCCUGGUGUGGUGCUGGAUCAGGGAAGAUGUUUGUGGGCUAUGCAAGCAAGAAGCCUGAUGUUGCUAUAGGUGCUGCAAAACUUAGUAAAAAAUUCUGUAGGCAAUGUAACAAAUGGCUGCAAGUAGAGGAAACCAUGUCUUCAUAGUUAUGUCAAGUGAGAAUUCCUAAGAAGUGAAUGUGAUGUUUAUUUUUCUGCCUUUAUUCUCACAUGAUGCUGGACAAGUUACCAGGCCAUUGUUUCUGUAGUGCUUAUAUUGUGCUUUACUUGAGAGGUGUCUGAUUUAAGACACUCAUGUCUGAAAGAAACACUGGUGGUUCACAUUGGUAGCUGAGCUUCUUAAGAGUUGUCAUUUGAAUUAAAAUACUCUGUGAAGUUAUGUCUCCUGACAUUCUCCUGUCGUCUUAGAGGGUACCUCAAACUGUUGCAUACUACGAUAGUUUCUACACCUCCAUGUCACAUUUAAAAUAGGGAUAAUGAACACAUACCUUGAAGGGUUGUUGGCUACUUUUGUUUAGUAGCUGUACUACAGUAAUGCAUUUCCUCAUUGAAUUUUCUAUGGCAUUUAUUAAUUUUGAUUUCAGAGGAAGAGGUGAGUACUGUGCAUCUUUUAAAGACCUGUUCUGCAAUCAACUUUCCUUGUUACCAGCUCAUACUGGGAAACAGAGUUUCCAUGCUGUUUAUUCAUAAUCUGUUUCUGUAGUCCUGUGAACUCCAAAAUACUCUGAUUUGUGUCCUGUCACUGAUUCAUUUUGCAAAUACAAUUAUUAUUAUUAAACACUUGUGUGUGCCAUUUUUUGAAUGUUGUUUCUGUAAGUUACUGUGUCAACAUUCUGCAAAAUCUUUUAUACACUAAAGGUAAUGUACAUGUUCGAACUUCAGCAUAUUUGACAUUAAAUUUACCUGUGAAGAUCUAUUUUCCAGAAAGAAUGAACUAGUUAAAUUGUAACAAUUUCUUAAUGUACAGUGGUAAGCACUGCAUCUCUAAAAAUAUAAAGUGACUUAUACCUAUGUAUUUAGGACUUCUACAGCCAUUUUCUUCAAAUUGCAAAGACUGUUUUCUUGGUACUGCCUAUGGUACUACACUUAGCAAAGUGAGAGUGGUCUGUACUAGAAAUUUGGAUACAGUGAUCUGAAAAUGUUUCAGCUUUUCCCUUAGUCAUGGUAUCUUGUUAAGUAUUGGGGGAAGUUCUUCUAAUCAGGUUGCAAUAUUAGCAGUAAUGGUUGAAAUUUGAAGUGUUUAGAUUCCCUGUGUCUUCAUCACAACCUACUGUCACAAAAGUCACAAGAAGUGAUAGAAAUAUAUCCAAAGUGGUGAGCUGCUAUUGUACCAGUUUAACAGCAGCAGCAAUUCUUCAUGUAAAGUAAAGCAAAACGUUUAAAAUGUAUUUGAAGGAAAACUUAUGUCUGUGAUAUACGUGAAUCUCCUUUCUAAGAUGGCAGUUGUAAGUGUGUAUCAGAAUAAAAUAUUUAACUUUAAAGAGAAAUAGGAAAAAAAAUGGAAAAAUGCAAUGGCAUGAGUGGCAUUGCUCAUCUUUCUGUGAGAGGGAUAAUAAUCAUUGGAGUACUUCUUUAUCACUCUAAAUUAUUUCUGAUAGAAGUUAUUCAAUGGUCAUCAGGUGCAACUCUUAUUUUUUUCCAUAUUUUAUUCACUUAUAAUUGCUCUGUAUUUGUUAAUAAAUUUAUCUUAUACUG